CGCGUGUUCGAGAGUAGCUAAAGCUAGAUGUAAAACAAAAACUCAAGUCGUAAAUAAAAGGGACUCCGACUAAAUAAAGGGGGCGCAGCCCCUGGAGUCCGGAGCAGGCGCCACGGCAGGAGGGGGGCGCACGCGACCAGGGGGAGGGCCGCGGCUCCCAACCCUAGGUGCCCCACCUGUGCUGCCCUGUUGGGCCAUCUUCUU
rnacentral:lncRNA from 1 species